ensembl:snRNA U6 U6 spliceosomal RNA
GUGCUCGCUUCGGCAGCACAUAUACUAAAAUUGGAACGAUACAGAGAAGAUUAGCUUGGCCCCUGCGCCAGGAUGACACGCAAAAAUCCCAAAAUGAAAUAAGGAAAU